rnacentral:rRNA from 1 species
GUGAACGCUGGCGGUAGGCCUAACACAUGCAAGUCGAACGGCAGCACAGUAAGAGCUUGCUCUUACGGGUGGCGAGUGGCGGACGGGUGAGGAAUACAUCGGAAUCUACUUUUUCGUGGGGGAUAACGUAGGGAAACUUACGCUAAUACCGCAUACGACCUACGGGUGAAAGCAGGGGAUCUUCGGACCUUGCGCGAUUGAAUGAGCCGAUGUCGGAUUAGCUAGUUGGCGGGGUAAAGGCCCACCAAGGCGACGAUCCGUAGCUGGUCUGAGGAUGAUCAGCCACACUGGAACUGAGACACGGUCCAGACUCCUACGGGAGGCAGCAGUGGGGAAUAUUGGACAAUGGGCGCAAGCCUGAUCCAGCCAUACCGCGUGGGUGAAGAAGGCCUUCGGGUUGUAAAGCCCUUUUGUUGGGAAAGAAAAGCAGCAGGUUAAUACCCCGCUGUUCUGACGGUACCCAAAGAAUAAGCACCGGCUAACUUCGUG